rnacentral:lncRNA from 1 species
GUCUGGAAAAUGAGGAGCGUCUCUACCCGGCCGCCAUCCCAUCUAGGAAGUGACGAGCGCCUCUUCCCGGCCGCCAUCCCAUCUAGGAAGUGAGGAGUGUCUCUGCCCGGCCGCCCAUCCUCUGAGAUGUGGGGAGCACCUCUGCCCCGCCGCCCCGUCUGGGAUGUGAGGAGCGCCUCUGCCCGGCCGCGACGCCGUCUGGAAGGUGAGGAGUGUCUCUGCCUGGCCGCCCCAUCUGAGAAGUGAGGAGACCCUCCGCCCGGCAGCCGCCCCGUCUGAGAAGUGAGGAGCCCCUCCGCCCGGCAGCCGCCCCAUCUGGGAAGUGAGGAGCGUCUCCGCCCGGCAGCCACCCUGUCCGGGAGGGAGGUAGGGGGGUCAGCCCCCCGCCUGGCCAGCCUCCCCGUCCGGGAGGUGAGGGAAGCCUCUGCCCGGCCACCCCUACUGCACAAUGGGAUUCGUCGCCAAGAUGAUGAAGGCUCCACAAACCCUAUGGUGUGAUGAAGAGUUAAAGGAACUGGAGUAGUUAACUAAGGAGAAGUGUGGGACAUUAUCACACAUUUGAAGGCCUGUCAAAGGUAAGCACUAUUAGAUUUGUCUCCAGAGUGUGGGACUUGGCCCAAAGACUGUAAGCACCAGAGAAACAAUUUUCAGCUCAGUUUAAGAAAGUGUUUCAAAUCGUAAUGGGUUGCUUCAAGGGACAGUGUUUUCCUCAUCAUAAGAAGG